rnacentral:rRNA from 2 species
UGCUGGAGGUAUCAGAAGUGCGAAUGCUGACAUAAGUAACGAUAAAGCGGGUGAAAAGCCCGCUCGCCGGAAGACCAAGGGUUCCUGUCCAACGUUAAUCGGGGCAGGGUGAGUCGACCCCUAAGGCGAGGCCGAAAGGCGUAGUCGAUGGGAAACGGGUUAAUAUUCCCGUACUUGGUGUUACUGCGAAGGGGGGACGGAGAAGGCUAUGUUGGCCGGGCGACGGUUGUCCCGGUUUAAGCGUGUAGGUGUGUGUUCCAGGUAAAUCCGGUUCACUUUAACACUGAGGCGUGACGACGAGGCACUACGGUGCUGAAGCAACAAAUGCCCUGCUUCCAGGAAAAGCCUCUAAGCAUCAGGUAACACGAAAUCGUACCCCAAACCGACACAGGUGGUCAGGUAGAGAAUACCAAGGCGCUUGAGAGAACUCGGGUGAAGGAACUAGGCAAAAUGGUGCCGUAACUUCGGGAGAAGGCACGCUGACACGUAGGUGAAGUGAUUUACUCACGGAGCUGAAGUCAGUCGAAGAUACCAGCUGGCUGCAACUGUUUAUUAAAAACACAGCACUGUGCAAACACGAAAGUGGACGUAUACGGUGUGACGCCUGCCCGGUGCCGGAAGGUUAAUUGAUGGGGUCAGCGUAAGCGAAGCUCCUGAUCGAAGCCCCGGUAAACGGCGGCCGUAACUAUAACGGUCCUAAGGUAGCGAAAUUCCUUGUCGGGUAAGUUCCGACCUGCACGAAUGGCGUAAUGAUGGCCAGGCUGUCUCCACCCGAGACUCAGUGAAAUUGAACUCGCUGUGAAGAUGCAGUGUACCCGCGGCAAGACGGAAAGACCCCGUGAACCUUUACUAUAGCUUGACACUGAACAUUGAGCCUUGAUGUGUAGGAUAGGUGGGAGGCUUUGAAGUGUGGACGCCAGUCUGCAUGGAGCCGACCUUGAAAUACCACCCUUUAAUGUUUGAUGUUCUAACGUGGACCCGUAAUCCGGGUUGCGGACAGUGUCUGGUGGGUAGUUUGACUGGGGCGGUCUCCUCCUAAAGAGUAACGGAGGAGCACGAAGGUUGGCUAAUCCUGGUCGGACAUCAGGAGGUUAGUGCAAUGGCAUAAGCCAGCUUGACUGCGAGCGUGACGGCGCGAGCAGGUGCGAAAGCAGGUCAUAGUGAUCCGGUGGUUCUGAAUGGAAGGGCCAUCGCUCAACGGAUAAAAGGUACUCCGGGGAUAACAGGCUGAUACCGCCCAAGAGUUCAUAUCGACGGCGGUGUUUGGCACCUCGAUGUCGGCUCAUCACAUCCUGGGGCUGAAGUAGGUCCCAAGGGUAUGGCUGUUCGCCAUUUAAAGUGGUACGCGAGCUGGGUUUAGAACGUCGUGAGACAGUUCGGUCCCUAUCUGCCGUGGGCGCUGGAGAACUGAGGGGGGCUGCUCCUAGUACGAGAGGACCGGAGUGGACGCAUCACUGGUGUUCGGGUUGUCAUGCCAAUGGCACUGCCCGGUAGCUAAAUGCGGAAGAGAUAAGUGCUGAAAGCAUCUAAGCACGAAACUUGCCCCGAGAUGAGUUCUCCCUGAGACUUAGAGUCUCCUGAAGGAACGUUGAAGACGACGACGUUGAUAGGCCGGGUGUGUAAGCGCAGCGAUGCGUUGAGCUAACCGGUACUAAUGAACCGUGAGGCUUAACCUUACAACGCCGAAG